AUCGAACGCUGGCGGCAGGCCUAACACAUGCAAGUCGAACGAGUGGCGGACGGGUGAGUAAUGUCUGGGACACUGCCCGAUGGAGGGGGAUAACUACUGGACACGGUAGCUAAUACCGCAUACCAUCGGAUGUGCCCAGAUGGGAUGAGCUAGUAGGUGGGGUAACGGCUCACCUGGGCGACGAGCCCUAGCUGGUCUGAGAGGAUGAACAGCCACACUGGAACUGAGACACGGUCCAGACUCCUACGGGAGGCAGCAGUGUGGAAUAUUGCACAAUGGGCGCAAGCCUGAUGCAGCGAUGCCGCGUGUAUGAAGAAGGCCUUCGGGUUGUAAAGUACGUUCAGCGAGGAGGCGUUACUCGCAGAAGAAGCACCGGCUAACUCCGUGCCAGCCGCCGCGGUAAUUC
rnacentral:rRNA from 1 species